UACGUAGGGGGCGAGCGUUAUCCGGAAUUAUUGGGCGUAAAGAGUACGUAGGUGGUUUUGUAAGCGUGGGGUGAAAGACCGAAGCUCAACUUCGGUUAGCCUUGCGAACUGCAAGACUUGAGUGCAGGAGAGGAAAGUGGAAUUCCUAGUGUAGCGGUGAAAUGCGUAGAUAUUAGGAGGAACAUCAGUGGCGAAGGCGACUUUCUGGACUGUAACUGACACUGAGGUACGAAAGCGUGGGUAGCAAACAGGAUUAGAUACCCUGGUAGUCCACGCCGUAAACGAUGAGCACUAGGUGUCGGGGUCGCAAGGCUUCGGUGCCGCAGUUAACGCAUUAAGUGCUCCGCCUGGGGAGUACGCACGCAAGUGUGAA
rnacentral:rRNA from 1 species